CGCUUCAGAAGAGCCAGAAUGCUGACUGAUAUCCAGGAAAUGACAUCACUGUGUCACAGAUGGGAGGUUUUCAUUACUGAUAACACACUGCCGCUUUAAUGAAACAGUUGAGUUGAGGAGCAGGUGAGAGAACUAUAUGAAACACAGAACUCUGUUCUUAAGUAAAUGAAAGAUGAAUGUAGAACUCUAUGCUGUUCUCUUCUCACUGGCUGUAGUGGGUGUACUCGGACAAACUGUGGAGCAAACUGAGCUCCUUUGGACAAAGUCACUGAAUAAGAGAGCUUAUAUCAGCUGUAAAGUGACUGGACUUCAGAGCAGCAACUACGUCCACUGGUAUCAACAGAAAGAUGGAGAAGCUCUGAAAAGGAUCCUGUACGUUAAUAAAGAUGCCUCUAGCACUGUUCCUGAUCCAAACCAUCCUGAAGCAAAAGACUUCUCUGUGACUCUAGAGAAGGGUGAUGCAGGUGAUAAUUAUGUUCUGAAGGUGGGCUCAGUGAAGCUCAACCAUGCUGGAGUUUAUUACUGUGCUGUCUGGACGGGCAGCCACAGUGAGAUAAACUGCUCACAUCCUGUACAAUAA